rnacentral:rRNA from 1 species
GACGAACGCUGGCGGCGUGCUUAACACAUGCAAGUCGAACGGAAAGGCCCUGCUUGCAGGGUACUCGAGUGGCGAACGGGUGAGUAACACGUGGGUGAUCUGCCCUUCACUUCGGGAUAAGCCUGGGAAACUGGGUCUAAUACCGGAUAGGAGCCAUUUUUAGUGUGAUGGUUGGAAAGUUUUUUCGGUGUAGGAUGAGCUCGCGGCCUAUCAGCUUGUUGGUGGGGUAAUGGCCUACCAAGGCGGCGACGGGUAGCCGGCCUGAGAGGGUGGACGGCCACAUUGGGACUGAGAGACGGCCCAGACUCCUACGGGAGGCAGCAGUGGGGAAUAUUGCACAAUGGGCGCAAGCCUGAUGCAGCGACGCCGCGUGGGGGAUGACGGCCUUCGGGUUGUAAACUCCUUUCGCUAGGGACGAAGCUUUUUGUGACGGUACCUAGAUAAGAAGCACCGGCUAACUACGUG